rnacentral:rRNA from 1 species
CACGCACUCCCCCCCCUCACUCCCGUCCACCUCCACCGGAUCAGGGAGGCAGUUGCCACACCACACCACCCGCCUCUUCCCCCUUCCGCCCACCGGCAAGGCCAUUCCCGCGCGCCGCCGGUCGCCCAGGUGCACGUCCACCCCCUUUUUUCUCCCUCCCCCCUCCUAUUCCCGGGUGCCAAUCCCAUUGCCUGCUCCUCGCGAACGCAUCAUUGUUCCAUCUUGCAUUGCGUUACUCCUUCACGCAAUCUUGCUCCGGCUUCACUCGCUCCUCCUCCAUGCCCAUGCACACGCGCGGCACGCCGGUAAAUUUACCGGUCGCUGAUGGGUGCGAUGGCCCAAAGAUUGGCGCUCUUCGCUCCUCUUUUGGUGCCCUUUCUUCCCUGUCCCCGGCUCCCCUGCCGGCCAGAUUAGUUGAAAUAGGGGAGAUACACCCGCCUGCGUGCUUGCACUUUCCUGUCGAAUGCCAUGGUUACUAGUUUAAUUUGUUGAUUAACAGCAUGCUGCUAACGUUAUUUUUUUUAAAUAUAUGCAAGGGAGAGGCUGUGAUGCAAUUUAAGAGUCCUUUAAUCCGACUGAAUCUGCAUCAAGUAGUCUUCUCAGUUUAUUUAUGCAGCUCAUGGGAUUAUAUCGGCCCUUCGCGUUUCGACCUUUCAGGAUAAUCUGUUCCCUUCCACUGUGAAUUGACUCUGAAUUGUUUCACCCACUACUUAUUAAUCUAGCUGUUAAACGAGUUACACAAAGGCAUAAUAUCGAUCACUAGUAUUGAUUCUUGACUACGGGCACGGUUUCUUGCUCUGGCAAACUAUCUGGGGUCGCUCAUUGUGCCAUGCUAAGUUCUUGCUUAUAUCAUAUCAUAAGUGGUACUGGGAUUGGAUGUAAAUAGUUGUUGGUACAAGUAUAACACUCAUAUUUCCGUCUUGGUCACAGAACUUGGAGAAGAAGGAAAAAAACAAUUUAUCGUCACCACUGUGAGAAUCAAUUUAUCUUGAAGCUUGCAGACUCGAAGGAACACUUGUCGUGCAUUGUGCACACUAUUGCUCUGAGAAAAAGUAGCUAUAGUACUUAAAGCAACUUUUCUUGGAUGGGUUCAGACAAGCAGAGUGGUAGCCCACUAUUGGGAACCCUCAAGAUGGAGAGGGUUCGGACGAUCCUGACACACACGCCAUAUCCUCAUGAACACUCGAGGCAUAUCAUGACAGCAGUGAUAAUUGGGUGCCUCUUUUUCAUCUCGUCCGACAAUAUGCAUACUCUGAUACAUAAACUGGACAGCAAUAUCAAAUGGUGGUCCAUGUAUGUUUGCUUGAUUGGUUUCUUCUACUUCUUUUCAUCUCCCUUCCUUGGAAGAACAAUUCAGCCGAGUUACUCAAAUUUCAACCGAUGGUAUGUCGCUUGGAUUUGCUUUGCAUCCCUGUAUCAUCUCCCUAGCUUCCAAUCAAUGGGCGUUGAUAUGCGCAUGAACCUUUCACUUUUUUUGACUAUAUAUUUCUCUUCUGUCCUCUUCAUCACCGCCUUUCACAUCAUAUUUAUUGGUCUCUGGUACAUUGGACUGGUUGCUCGCAUGGCAGGCACAAGACCAGGAAUAUGGACCAUAGUACAAAACUGUACUGUCAUCAGUAUUGCAUGCUGUGUAUUCUACAGUCAUUGCGGGAAUCUUGCUGUCCCCAAAAGCGAGUCUUUUGACAAGAGUUCUGAUCCAAGUUUGCUGGCUUUUCUUAAAAACGAAAAUGGAACCACAUGGAUAUCAAAUUUUCUCUUUAUGAAUGAACUAAAAGAUCAGAUAUGUUCAUCUUGGUUUGCACCUGUUGGAUCUGCAACUGACUAUCCUCUUCUGUCAAAGUGGGUUAUAUAUGGGGAGUUUGCAGUGGAUCCUGUGCUGGCCCAUCAGAUGAAAUAUCUCCUCUGUACUCACUGUGGGCUACAUUCGUCGGCCUUUAUAUUGCCAACUUUGUUGUGGAGAGAUCAACUGGAUGGGCUCUUACUCACUUGUCACCAGUAUCAGAAGAGGAGAAGCUCAGAAAACAUAUGAAACCAGAUUUCCUGGAUAUGGUACCUUGGUACUCAGGGACAUCGGCUGAUUUAUUCAAGACAGCGUUUGAUCUUAUGGUCUCUGUAACUCUUUUUGUCGGGCGAUUUGACAUGCGCAUGAUGCAGGCUGCAAUGAAAAGUACUACAGAUGAAACUCGGAAUGAUGAUGUGCUCUAUGACUAUUUCAAUGAAAGAGAAGACCUUUGGUUUGACUUUGUCGCAGACACCGGUGAUGGUGGAAAUUCAUCAUAUACAGUUGCCCGGCUGCUGGCUCAGCCAUCCAUUCAGACUGUAAUUGGUGGUUCUAUGCAUACUCUUCCACGUGGAAAUUUGCUUGUUAUUGGCGGAGAUCUUGCGUAUCCAAACCCUUCGUCCUUUACAUAUGAGAGACGCUUCUUUGGUCCUUUUGAGUAUGCUAUGCAACCUCCGCGUUGGUAUAAGGCUGAACAUAUAGCUGUGGAUAAGCCUGAGGUUCCUCCGGGCGUAUCAAAGAUGAAAAAAUAUGAUGGACCUCAAUGUUUCAUAAUUCCCGGGAACCACGAUUGGUUCGAUGGGCUUCACACCUUCAUGAGAUAUAUAUGUCACAAAAGCUGGUUAGGUGGAUGGUUUCUGCCUCAGAAGAAGAGUUACUUCGCAUUGCAGCUUCCGAAAGGUUGGUGGAUAUUUGGUCUUGAUCUAGCUCUUCAUGGUGACAUUGAUGUGUACCAAUUCAAGUUCUUCGCAGAACUUUGUCGGAAUAAGUUAUGCAGGUUGGAGAGAACGACUCUGUGAUCAUUGUUACACACGAGCCAAACUGGCUCCUUGAUUGGUAUUGGAAGGAGAUUACAGGCAAGAAUGUCUCACAUUUGAUUCAGGACUACCUGAAUGGAAGGUGCAAACUUCGUAUGGCUGGGGAUUUGCAUCAUUUUAUGAGGCAUUCUGCUACACCAUCAGAUAAACCAACUUUUGUUGAACACUUACUUGUCAAUGGAUGUGGUGGUGCCUUUCUGCACCCAACACAUGUUUUCAAAAACUUUGAAAGGUUCUCUGGUACUACCUACGAGUGCAAGGCUGCUUAUCCCUCCUAUGAGGAAUCUAGUGGGAUUGCACUGGGCAACAUAUUAAAAUUCCGCAAGAAGAAUUGGCAGUUCGACAUAAUUGGUGGUUUUAUUUACUUCAUACUGGUAUUCUCCAUGUUCCCACAGUGUAAUCUUGUUCACAUCUUAAAUGAGGAAACAUGGUCUGGGCGUCUGCAAAGCUUCUCAAGUACAAUAUGGAGUGCUUUGCUUUUUAUUUUUGAACACUCUUACGUCUCCUCAGUAGGAAGUCUAACUUUGUUGAUGGCAUCAUAUUCAUUUGUACCAUCCAAACUCACACGGAAAAAAAGAGCUAUUAUUGGUGGCCUGCAUGUUUUGGCCCAUCUGACUGCAGCUCUAGUUUUAAUGUUGCUCAUGGAGUUGGGCAUUGAAAUAUGUAUACGGAAUCAUUUACUGGCAACGUCAGGUUAUCACCCUCUAUAUGAUUGGUAUCGGUCAAUGGAAAGUGAGCAUUUCCCAGAUCCAACUGGUCUUCGUACUCGAUUGGAACAAUGGACGCUUGGACUAUAUCCAGCAUGUAUAAAAUACCUUAUGUCAGCCUUUGACGUCCCAGAGGUCAUGGCUGUUACAAGGAUCAACAUUUGCAAGAACGGCAUGAUGUCUCUUUCUCGGAGUGUUCUGAUCAUGUACUAUACUUCUGUAUUUAUCUAUUUCUGGAUUUUCUCAACUCCAGUUGUUUCCCUCAUAUUUGGUAGUUACCUAUACAUAUGCAUCAACUGGUUCCACAUACACUUUGAUGAAGCCUUCUCGUCUUUGCGCAUCGCAAACUACAAAUCUUUCACAAGGUUCCAUAUUAAGAAGGACGGUGAUCUAGAAAUAUUUACACUUGCAGUUGACAAGGUCCCAAAGGAUUGGAAGUUGGAUCCCAAGUGGGAGGCAGAGGAAAGAGGGCCUCAUCAGCUCAGCCACCACCGGAGAUACCCUAGCAAAUGGAGGUCAGCCUCAUCUCCAGACCCCGUCAGGUCGGUGCGGGUCGUUGACCAUUUCACCAUCACAAGAACAGUAGCACCAGAUUCCGAGACCUCCUGCUGAUUCCCUACAUCAUUGCUGGUGAAGUACUUCUUCGAGACAUUAGCGAUUGCUUGCGCAGAUUGUCAGUUUUUCAUCCCAUAUCCAGCUUGACUUGGGCUGACCUAUGAUAUCUGCUCCGGUGUUGCCUUCAGCUCUCUAUGCUAACUUCAUCUCCGGCAUUGCACAGCAUAUAGCAGAGAUUUACUUGUGUACUAGUUAACUGGUAACAAAGAAGAAUGGAUGGAGGAAACAUAGAAAAAAUUCGAUUCAUCAGAUAGCUUGUAUUUUGAGUGCAUGCUCUUUAUAGUUUAUACCGAAAGAUAGUGGAACACGGCCAAUUUUUGUCAUGUGGAAACAUAUAUCCUGGAUGUAGAUUUCACUGAAACACGGAGUGUAAAUUUCACUAUUUUCUGUAGAAGGAACCGAGUUUAUUAUUUGUGGAAUUCGCUUCGUUACUCUGGUGCCAUUGAUUCCUAGUACAUGCAUAUCUGCAAUG